rnacentral:rRNA from 1 species
GACGAACGCUGGCGGCGUGCUUAACACAUGCAAGUCGAACGGAAAGGCCUGCUUUCCCUUGUGGAUUGCGGGUACUCGAGUGGCGAACGGGUGAGUAACACGUGAGUGAUCUGCCCCCAACUUGGGUAUAAGCCUGGGAAACUGGGUCUAAUUCCCGAUAGGACUGCAGGGUGGUGCCUGUGGUGGAAAACGAUUUUCUAGUGGUUGGGGAUGAGCUCGCGGCCUAUCAGCUUGUUGGUGGGGUAAUGGCCUACCAAGGCGGCGACGGGUAGCCGGCCUGAGAGGGUGGACGGCCACAUUGGGACUGAGCUACGGCCCAGACUCCGACGGGAGGCAGCAGUGGGGGAUAAUGCACAAUGGGCGGAAGCAUGAUGCAGGGACGCCGCGUGGGGGAUGACGGCCUUCGGGUUGUAAACUCCUUUCGACCGCGAGGAAGCCACCUGGUUGGAAGGGUGGUGACGGUAGUGGUAGAAGAAGCACCGGCUAACUACGU